rnacentral:rRNA from 1 species
UACGGAGGGUGCAAGCGUUAUCCGGAUUCACUGGGUUUAAAGGGUGCGUAGGUGGGCAGGUAAGUCAGUGGUGAAAUCUCCGGGCUCAACCCGGAAACUGCCAUGGAUACUAUCAGUCUUGAAUAUCGUGGAGGUAAGCGGAAUAUGUCAUGUAGCGGUGAAAUGCUUAGAUAUGACAUAGAACACCAAUUGCGAAGGCAGCUUACUACCCGAAUAUUGACACUGAGGCACGAAAGCGUGGGGGAUCAAACAGG